GAUGAACGCUGGCGGCGUGCCUAAUACAUGCAAGUCGAGCGAACGGACGAGAAGCUUGCUUCUCUGAUGUUAGCGGCGGACGGGUGAGUAACACGUGGAUAACCUACCUAUAAGACUGGGAUAACUUCGGGAAACCGGAGCUAAUACCGGAUAAUAUUUUGAACCGCAUGGUUCAAAAGUGAAAGACGGUCUUGCUGUCACUUAUAGAUGGAUCCGCGCUGCAUUAGCUAGUUGGUAAGGUAACGGCUUACCAAGGCAACGAUGCAUAGCCGACCUGAGAGGGUGAUCGGCCACACUGGAACUGAGACACGGUCCAGACUCCUACGGGAGGCAGCAGUAGGGAAUCCUCCGCAAUGGGCGAAAGCCUGACGGAGCAACGCCGCGUUAGUGAUGAAGGUUUUCGGAUCGUAAAACUCUUUUAUUAGGGAAGAACAUAAGUGUAAGUAACUGUGCACAUCUUGACGGUACCUAAUCAGAAAGCCACGGCUAACUACGUG
rnacentral:rRNA from 1 species